GAUGAAGAACGUAGCGAAAUGCGAUACUUGGUGUGAGUUGCAGAAUCCCGUGAACCAUCGAGUCUUUGAACGCAAGUUGCGCCCGAAGCCACUAGGCCGAGGGCACGCCUGCCUGGGCGUCACACGUCGUUGCCCCCCCCCCCCCAUCUACUCCUUCGGGAUUGCGGGGGGCGGAUGAUGGCCUCCCGUGCGCCUAGCCGCGCGGUUGGCAUAAAUACCAAGUCCUCGGCGACGCACGCCACGACAAUCGGUGGUUGCGAAACCUCGGUUGCCCGUCGUGUGCGUUCGUCGCGCAUCGAGGGCUCGAAAAAAUGCUCGGCUCCGGCUCGGCUUUCAACGCGACCCCAGGUCAGGCGGGGUUACCCGCUGAAUUUAAGCAUAUCAAUAAGCGGAGGA
rnacentral:misc_RNA from 1 species